GAUGAACGCUGGCGGCGUGCUUAACACAUGCAAGUCGAACGGAAAGGCCAGUGCUUGCACUGGUACUCGAGUGGCGAACGGGUGAGUAACACGUGGGUGAUCUGCCCUGCACUUCGGGAUAAGCCUGGGAAACUGGGUCUAAUACCGGAUAGGACAAUGGUUUGGAUGCCGUUGUGGAAAGUUUUUCCGAUGUGGGUUGUGCUCGCGCGCUAUCAGCUCGUUGGUGGGGUAAUGGCCUACCAAGGCUUAGACAGGAAGCCGGCCUGAGAGGGUGUACGGCGACAUGUGGUGGGAGAAACGGGCCAGGCUCCUCAGGGAGGCUGCAGUGGAGGGGAGAGCACACGAGGCGGGAGCCUGAUGCUGCGAGGGCUAGUGGGGGGUGACGGCGUGCGGGUUGUCAGCUCCUUUCGCUAAGGUCGAAGCGUCUUUGUGACGGUACCUAGUGAAGACGCGCCGGCUAACUGCGUG
rnacentral:rRNA from 1 species